AUACGUAGGUGGCGAGCGUUGUCCGGAAUUAUUGGGCGUAAAGAGCAUGUAGGCGGCUUAAUAAGUCGAGCGUGAAAAUGCGGGGCUCAACCCCGUAUGGCGCUGGAAACUGUUAGGCUUGAGUGCAGGAGAGGAAAGGGGAAUUCCCAGUGUAGCGGUGAAAUGGGUAGAUAUUGGGAGGAACACCAGUGGCGAAGGCGCCUUUCUGGAAUGUAGCGGACGCUGAGAUGCGAAAGCCGGGGUAGCGAACGGGAUUAGAUACCCCGGUAGUCCUUGCCGUAAACGAUGGGUACUAGGUGUAGGAGGUAUCGACCCCUUCUGUGCCGGAGUUAACGCAAUAAGUACCCCGCCUGGGGAGUACGGCCGCAAGGUUGAAACUCAAAGGAAUUGACGGGG
rnacentral:rRNA from 1 species